rnacentral:rRNA from 1 species
CCUACGGGGGGCAGCAGUGAGGAAUAUUGGUCAAUGGACGAGAGUCUGAACCAGCCAAGUAGCGUGAAGGAUGACUGCCCUAUGGGUUGUAAACUUCUUUUAUAUGGGAAUAAAAUGUUACACGUGUGGGAUUUUGUAUGUACCAUAUGAAUAAGGAUCGGCUAACUCCGUGCCAGCAGCCGCGGUAAUACGGAGGAUCCGAGCGUUAUCCGGAUUUAUUGGGUUUAAAGGGAGCGUAGGUGGAUUGUUAAGUCAGUUGUGAAAGUUUGCGGCUCAACCGUAAAAUUGCAGUUGAAACUGGCAGUCUUGAGUACAGUAGAGGUGGGCGGAAUUCGUGGUGUAGCGGUGAAAUGCUUAGAUAUCAUGAAGAACUCCGAUUGCGAAGGCAGUUCACUGGACUGCAACUGACACUGAGGCUCGAAAGUGUGGGUAUCAAACAGGAUUAGAUACCCGUGUAGUC